AUUGAACGCUGGCGGCAUGCCUUACACAUGCAAGUCGAACGGCAGCGCGGGAGCUUGCUCCUGGCGGCGAGUGGCGAACGGGUGAGUAAUACAUCGGAACGUACCCAGAAGUGGGGGAUAACGUAGCGAAAGUUACGCUAAUACCGCAUAUUCUGUGAGCAGGAAAGUGGGGGAUCGCAAGACCUCACGCUUUUGGAGCGGCCGAUGUCGGAUUAGCUAGUUGGUGAGGUAAAGGCUCACCAAGGCGACGAUCCGUAGCGGGUCUGAGAGGAUGCUCCGCCACACUGGGACUGAGACACGGCCCAGACUCCUACGGGAGGCAGCAGUGGGGAAUUUUGGACAAUGGGGGCAACCCUGAUCCAGCCAUGCCGCGUGAGUGAAGAAGGCCUUCGGGUUGUAAAGCUCUUUCGCGAGGGAAGAAAGCGCACUGGUUAAUACCUGGUGUGGAUGACGGUACCUUGAUAAGAAGCACCGGCUAACUACGUGCCAGCCGCCGCAGUAA
rnacentral:rRNA from 1 species